GAACCGUCUUGGCGAGGGAGGCCGUUGUGGAGGCGAAGGUUGCUCAUCAUCGUCCUGGGCAGUAGGUACUGCUCUCCCCGCUAGUUGACAGGAAUGUUAGAGGCAGCGACUCAGCCCGGCCGCCACCCCCACCUGCCCGUGAAUGGACGGACAGCCAGCUGCUCACGUCACACAGAGGCCGCGGGUCGAGCCCCUGAGGGAAGAGGUGCCCGGGAGCCAUCUCACCCCGAACGCAGACCUGAACCUGAUCAAACGCCUCAUCCCACCACCACUUGCAGGAAUGACAGGGGCCAGAGGAACAGGUGCAGGGCACCUCGGGAUGCUAAAACAAUUUGAUUU